rnacentral:rRNA from 1 species
GACGAACGCUGGCGGCGUGCUUAACACAUGCAAGUCGAACGGAAAGGCCCUGCUUGCAGGGUACUCGAGUGGCGAACGGGUGAGUAACACGUGGGUGAUCUGCCCUGCACUUCGGGAUAAGCUUGGGAAACUGGGUCUAAUACCGGAUAGGAACCAUCUUUAGUGUGGUGGUUGGAAAGUUUUUUCGGUGUAGGAUGAGCUCGCGGCCUAUCAGCUUGUUGGUGGGGUAAUGGCCUACCAAGGCGGCGACGGGUAGCCGGCCUGAGAGGGUGUACGGCCACAUUGGGACUGAGAUACGGCCCAGACUCCUACGGGAGGCAGCAGUGGGGAAUAUUGCACAAUGGGCGCAAGCCUGAUGCAGCGACGCCGCGUGGGGGAUGAAGGCCUUCGGGUUGGAAACUCCUUUCGCUAGGGACGAAGCUUUUUGUGACGGUACCUAGAUAAGAAGCACCGGCUAACUACGUG